rnacentral:rRNA from 1 species
UCGGCUACCAUGCAGUUCGAGGGGCAGCAUUUCAGUUUGCUUGCAAACUGGAGAUGGCGACCGGCGCACGGGUGAGUAACACGUAUCCAACCUGCCGAUAACUCGGGGAUAGCCUUUCGAAAGAAAGAUUAAUACCCGAUGGUAUAAUCAGACCGCAUGGUCUUGUUAUUAAAGAAUUUCGGUUAUCGAUGGGGAUGCGUUCCAUUAGGCAGUUGGUGAGGUAACGGCUCACCAAACCUUCGAUGGAUAGGGGUUCUGAGAGGAAGGUCCCCCACAUUGGAACUGAGACACGGUCCAAACUCCUACGGGAGGCAGCAGUGAGGAAUAUUGGUCAAUGGGCGCAGGCCUGAACCAGCCAAGUAGCGUGAAGGAUGACUGCCCUAUGGGUUGUAAACUUCUUUUAUAUGGGAAUAAAGUUUUCCACGUGUGGAAUUUUGUAUGUACCAUAUGAAUAAGGAUCGGCUAACUCCGUGCCAGCAGCCGCGGUAAUACGGAGGAUCCGAGCGUUAUCCGGAUUUAUUGGGUUUAAAGGGAGCGUAGGUGGACAGUUAAGUCAGUUGUGAAAGUUUGCGGCUCAACCGUAAAAUUGCAGUUGAUACUGGCUGUCUUGAGUACAGUAGAGGUGGGCGGAAUUCGUGGUGUAGCGGUGAAAUGCUUAGAUAUCACGAAGAACUCCGAUUGCGAAGGCAGCUCACUGGACUGCAACUGACACUGAUGCUCGAAAGUGUGGGUAUCAAACAGGAUUAGAUACCCUGGUAGUCCACACAGUAAACGAUGAAUACUCGCUGUUUGCGAUAUACAGUAAGCGGCCAAGCGAAAGCAUUAAGUAUUCCACCUGGGGAGUACGCCGGCAACGGUGAAACUCAAAGGAAUUGACGGGGGCCCGCACAAGCGGAGGAACAUGUGGUUUAAUUCGAUGAUACGCGAGGAACCUUACCCGGGCUUAAAUUGCAUUUGAAUAUAUUGGAAACAGUAUAGCCGUAAGGCAAAUGUGAAGGUGCUGCAUGGUUGUCGUCAGCUCGUGCCGUGAGGUGUCGGCUUAAGUGCCAUAACGAGCGCAACCCUUAUCUUUAGUUACUAACAGGUCAUGCUGAGGACUCUAGAGAGACUGCCGUCGUAAGAUGUGAGGAAGGUGGGGAUGACGUCAAAUCAGCACGGCCCUUACGUCCGGGGCUACACACGUGUUACAAUGGGGGGUACAGAAGGCAGCUACCUGGUGACAGGAUGCUAAUCCCAAAAGCCUCUCUCAGUUCGGAUCGAAGUCUGCAACCCGACUUCGUGAAGCUGGAUUCGCUAGUAAUCGCGCAUCAGCCAUGGCGCGGUGAAUACGUUCCCGGGCCUUGUACACACCGCCCGUCAAGCCAUGAAAGCCGGGGGUACCUGAAGUACGUAACCGCAGAGCUCCUAGG